rnacentral:sRNA from 1 species
AUAUGAGGUUAGGGAAGUUCAUCAGCAUUCUUCGGUGUUUGCUGGCUUUGUUUGUCCUUAUAGAGGGGAUGGUUCUGAGGGUUGUACAGAAUUGGGGGUGAGGUUGGGGUGCUGAGUGGGGAGAUACUUGGUUCUAGAGCACAGUAUGCACUGAUGUGCACUUUUUCUAACAUCCUCAUUUCCUUCUGCAGACUUCAGUUUCUGAAUAUAUUACCUUUAACCCACCUGGCAAACUAACAUGAGGAAAAACAAAAUGACAAGUGAAGAAGCAAAAAUGAGUUUAUACGGCAUUUAUACCUUCUGAUACUACUUGAAUUUUCUAAGUCCUGUUCACUUCAGGGACAAGGCUUAAGCAUCCUUUCCUUUUUGCUUUCCCCUGUUGGUCUGCUUGAUUUCUUAUCUCUUGUGGUGGUUUGGCUGAGAAAUGCCUACAAUAGGGUCGCAUAUUUGAACACUUGGUCCUCAGCUUGGUGGCCCUGUUUGUGGAGGUUGUAGAGCCUUUAGAGAUGGCGCCAGCCUUGCUGAAGGAAGUAUGGCAUUGGGGGAAGGUUUUGAGAGUCAUAGCCUUGCCGCACUUCCGGUUAACUCUUCACUUCCUGUUUCCGGCUGAAGUUGGUACCGCAUAGCUUCCUGUUCAGGUUACCUGGUGUCAUGCCUCCCUACUACUGUGGACUCUUUCUCUGAAACUGGUAAAGUGGUAUGGAUUUGCCAGCCAUCUGCCUUUAAGCCAUUCAACGGCAAUGUACAUGAAUUCUUUCCAUCUUUAAAGGUGUGUUGUCUCCAUGCAUGUCCACACACCACAUGUAUGCCUGGACCCCCUGGAACUACCACUAAAGAUGACUGUGAGAUCUGGCAUAUAGAUGCUGGGAAUCCAACCUGGGUCCUCUGAAGAACAGCCAGUGCUCUUAAAGCUGAGCCAUCUCUCUAGCCCCUUACUCUCAGUUCUGGAAAGGAUUCAUUAGCUGAGAUUUGAUUUCUUACUUGAGUAACAGUCAAAGGCUUGUUAAGCUUUUUGAACUCAGUUUUCUUUUGAUUGGAAAUUAAAAACAAUCACUUGUAUCUUUGUUAGACCUUGUGUUGGUUUUUACUUCUUUGAGAAAAUUCUUAAACAUUUGAGAAACAACUUAAUGGAAGAAAGACAGAUCUUGCCGUAGGGAUUCGGAGGGUUCGGUCCAUGGUCACUUGAUCUACUUUUGAGACUCUGAUGAGGCAAAGAGUCAUUGUGGCAGCAACAUGUGGCAGAAGAGGCAGCUCAUCUCAUGAUGGGUAAGGGACAGAAUGAUCAAAAGGGUCCAGGGACCAGAUAUACAUUUCAAAGGGAUGCCAGGUGUCAUCAUUUCUUCAACUGGGCCCCACAUCCUAACAGCCCAUUCAGCUCUGAACUCAUCAGCACAUCGAUCAUUUAAUGAUGUUAUCAAUUCCUGACCCAGUUCCCUCGCAGUUGCACCACCAACUGGAGACGCUAUCUCCAACACAUGAGCUCUUUGGGCAAAGACUUCAUAUCCAGGGCCUAACUGGUCUUGGUUUUCACUUUUAUUACAUUUGUUUCUUUGGGAUCCAGAUUUGCUUCCUAAUGAUGGGAGUUGUUGAUUAACAAUCUGAAAAUUAUAGCCAUUGUAUAUGUGGUAACCAGAAAGCAACACUAAGUGGGCAGUUAGUCCAUUGUGCAGCUCAAAUUAACUUUGUUUUGUUAAAGAAAAAUGCCGUACUUUUAUUUUUUCCUGUGUGUGAGAAGGAAAAGUCUCCAUCAUCCUUUUCCAGUUUUCUGUUGAUCUUAAAAAUUACCUUGUAGAAGGGGCUUCUGUCAGAUGCUCCAGGUUGGAUGACUUGCACUCUUCAAAAUCUACCAGUAUUUGCCAAGUUAAAUAUUGACAACAAACAGAACAAACAGGGUAUAUAUCGGUAUUGCUUUCCAAUUCCCCCGUGAUGCAUUUCAGUGUGAUAGGCAACAUAUUCUUUGGGGGAAGUGACACCCUGGGCAAGCAAAGACAUGGGCACAUAUCACAGCUGUUCAUUCUUCAAGGCCAUUAAUUCUUUUAAAGCAAAAAAAACAAAAAAAAAAAAAAAACAAAAAAAAAAUGAGUUCAUGUUUGAAUAACACAGAUUCUCAGCAUAUAACUCU